UUUUUUUUUUUUUUGAGGAACGGCCAUACUAUUCUUUGCUUUUUCAGUGCAUGUGAACAUUGCAUGCACCAAACUCUCCGGUAAAAUAUCAAUGAUCUGGCUUUGACAAAAUUGUUAACAAAUGCUUCAUUCGUCUGUAAAACAGUGACUUUUCUUCCUAAGAAUAAGUAACUUGCAAUAAUAAGUAAUAAGUAAUAAAUUGCAAAUUUAUUGCCCUUAUUUUUGAGGAUACUGUUACUAUUCAGCUAAGCACAAUUUUGUGUUUUCCGGAUGUACUUUCUAAUGUUGCCUGGACAAAGAGUCAACCAUAUCAUAUGGAAUCAGAAUUAAAUAAAAAUUGAGCAUUUCAUUUAAAAAAACAAAAAAACAAAAAAACAAACAAACAAAAAAACGCCUUUGUAACACCUUUGAAAGACCCCGACAAAAAAAAAAGAAAGAAAGACCCCGACAGGUGGGUCUCUCCUAUUCCCUCUAGGAGAGGAUGGCGCUGUAGUUGUACUUAUUGCCCACGAGGUGGCGCCUACACUUAAAAAAACCCCGCCUCUUCAAGCCAGUUCUCCAGCCUACCCAAAAAGUUCCGUGUGUCCUUUAGCCAAAAAAAGUUCAGUGUGUCCUUUAGCCAAAAGCAGGGCAUUUCCUCUUGGACACUCAGCAAAACUAAAGGCAGAAACAGCAGCUUUACACCCAAUACUCCUGUGACUGACCCAUAUCCAGAUACCCAUAGAGAUUAGGUUGUUCAUAACCUGAGAACUUUGUUUUUUCUUAAGACAGCUACUUAAAAUUCUAAUUGGUUCCUGUCACUGAAAACACAAGGAGAUAAGUGUCUAGGAUAUCAAAAUCAACAUUAUAUAAUAUAGUUUUGGAACAUAGGUGAGGUUUGGCAGGGGGAGGCCCAGAGCCAACUACCAAGAAAGAAUUCUUGGGGGCACCUGGGUGGCUCAGUGGUUGAGCAUAUGCCUUUGGCUCAGAUCGUGAUCCUGGAGUCCAGAGAUCCAGUCCCACGUCAGGCUCCCUGCAUGGAGCCUGUUUCUGUCUCUGCCUGUGUCUGCCUCUCUCUCUCUCUCUCUCUCUCUCUCUCAUGAAUAAAUAAAUAAAAUCUUUAAAAAAAUAAACAACAACAAAAAACCCAAAAUGGUGGUUUUAUUAAAGCAUGGGAACUAGACCGUGGGCAGAAAGAGCUGCUGUCUCAGGGUUGUGAGGGAUGAUUGAUUCUAUAAUUGGGAGUUAGGGGAGGUAAGGAAAAGGGAGAUUUUCAAAAAAACUUUCAUAGGCUAACGAGGACCUGCAAGAUACUGGAGGCAUUGCCAUUGUCAAGCUAAGAUUGUUUUUCCUUCUAGCAAGGCAUUAACAUUAAGACACUUGGGAGCUUUUUGGAGGAACAUUAUACUCUCCCUGACUCAAGUACUUGUCAAUGGGCUGCAGGUUAUAAGAACUUUUAAAUUAUCUACAUUUCCUUCUGGAAGUUAAGUUAUUGAUAAGAAUGUUUUGUUCUUUUAAAUUACUAAGACAUUUUGUAAACUGAGGGAGACUCAUGUCUUGCAGGACUGUGAUCUCUAAUAGUUAACCUUUUUUUUCUUCCCUUAGCUUUUCCUUAGUUUUUCCUUCCCUUAGCUUUAGGCAGCCAAGUAUGCCUGAGGAAGGUCACACAGGUCCUACCUAGGAGUGGGGGGAAAGGUGUGGGCUGUCAGCUUGUGCUUUGUCCUCAGCUUGCCUUCUGCUCCCUCAUCAUUAUAGACAGGUUUUCAUAGUUAGCAUUUCCUUGUAUUUCAUUGGUUUAAAGAGCAGAUGCUCUUAAAAUUACAAUAAGUUUGAUUCACAGGACCCCAGAGGCAAGAAACUUUACAUUUCUCUUUUUUCAAUACAUUCCUAAAAGGGCUCUUGGCAGCAAUGUUUGGAGUAAUAAAAGGUUGAUGAUAACUCAGAAGGGAAUUUGCCAGUCUCUGUGUCCCCUACUUACACAAAUUUCUUUUGGAGGUCUUUCCUUCUUAGCCCAGGUUGGACUGGAGGGUGUCUACUCCAUGUUAAAAGGAUGGACUAUUAUGACUCAGGUCUCAGUGAAUCGCCGCAUCUCCUAUUUCUGGCGACAGAUUGGAUUGGUCAGGGGAGACAUUUGGGAUGUCAAAUCAGUAGAACCAAUCAACAUGAACUUCAGGGUCUUUGCAGGAGCUAGCAAAAAGGGGCUUUCUCCUAGCCAGUGGAUUUGAGCAGGCAUGAGGCUAGAGUUCUUGAGGGCACUUGGCUCCAAGGAUCCAGACCCACCAGAACUAAAAUGGGUAUGGCCUGAAAAUUAAGCCCAUGUGGCAAAGGUGGAGCCAAGAGGUGGAAACUUUUCAAAAACUUCUGAAUCAAGCCAUGAUUCCAAGAUUUUGGAAUAUUUGGAAUAUUUUUUACACUAGUUGGGAUUUGGUUUUCUGACACUUGCAACUAAAUAUUAUCCUGUAGAGAAAAUAGUGUACUGUAUACUGUACAGAAAACCUUCCCAGAAGUAAUCUCACCAUACAUCAUGAGAUUUGGCGUAAAUUGGUGGUAAAUUCAGGCACUGGAAGGUAUCACUCUAAAAAGGAAUUUUCUUUAGCCUCGAGAACAUUGAAAAGACAUUAUCUUGAUGACUGUUAAAUCACAGGGUGGUGUUUCAUGACAGGGUAGGGGCUGCUAUUUGCCCCUAAUCCAUCUGCCUUUUCUUCUUUAGAAUGAAAUACUUCAAUUUUACCUAGGCACACAGAUACCCAGCUAAAAGACAGCUAGAUGUGGCCACAUGUCUAAAUCUUCUCCAAAAACAUAUAAAUGAAAGUAUUGUGUGUAACCUCUGGGAACUCUCCUUAUAGGGAAGAGGCUACCCUCUUUCUUUAUCCUUUUCACCAUCCUGCUACCUGGAAUGUUGAUGUGAUGGCUAGAAUGCUUAGGAGCCACAUUAAACCUUGAGGAUGCCCUACGGAUGAUGGAACACUGCAAUAGCAGGAGCCCAGGGUUCCUGAGUUUAGCUUUAACAGCUCUUCACUGCCUAUAUUUACAUUGUUUUUACUUGAGAGAAAAAUUAACUUUUAUCCUUGUUUGAACUAUUUUUGCUACACACGUGGACUGGAAACAAAAUUACAAGGGGUGGAAGAGACAGAGCUUUGUAACUCAGUGAGAGACCAAAGUAGCUAAAUAAAGAUUAACUUUGCUUCCAUAGUUCCUAAGUCAUUGUUCUUUCUAAGCAGUAAAACCAAACAUUAAGAGUGUUUAGUCCAUGGAGGGUGAUGCAAGUCCCAUAUAGUAUAAUCCCAUAAUCUGGGGAUGUCUAUCAUCCUAUUGUCACUCUUCACUUAGUUGCAUUCACUUGUUUCAUUAUCACCACGGCUAGACUGUACACACUGGGGCCUGAUCAUGUGCCCAGCUCGCUUGCUGCAGAAGCAGUGCCUAGCACAGUACCUGGCCUAGGAAAUGUGUUACUGAAGACUUACUAAAACAAGGAAUAGAUGAAUGAAUGGGAAAAAUUAAACUUUAAAAAAGAUCUUAGGGCUGUCUGGGUGGCUCAGUGGUUGAGCGUCUGCCUUCAGCUCAGAGCGCGAUCCCAGAGUUCCGGGAUCGAGUCCCAUAUUGGGCUCCUUGCAUGUAGCCUGCUUCUCCCUCUCCCUCUCUCUCUGCCUCUCUCUGUGUCUCUCAUGAAUAAAUAAAUAAAAAUCUUUAUAAAAUAAAAAAUAAAAAAGGUCUUAAGCUGCCAACAUGCUUUGUGAAAGUAUUGCUGCAAGGGGAUAGGUAUCUCCAUCCACGUUGGCUUGGGCAGGUCUCAAAUCUUAUCGUAGGUGUAAGUAAAGUAAUGAACCAAAGAUUAGGGAUUUGUUUAAUCUGAACUGCUGGAGGGAAACUCUUGGAGCCCAGGGUAGCAAGUAAUCCUGUUUCCCAAAGUAUGCUUCACCCAGCAAUGGGGUCACAGGGACAAUUUCAGUUGGUAUAAAGACAAGCUUUGUUUUGAUGAUUACAUAUUUGUAAAUUACCUAAAACUUGCAAAUGUGGACAAGAAGAUAAAUGUGUAUUCUUUCAACAUCAUGCCAAAACACUGUUAAUAGGUUUACCCAAAGACCUUCUAAUUCUCUAGGACAAAGGUUAGCAAACUAUGGCCAAGGGCCAAAUCUAACCUGUGGCCAGUUUUGUAGGGACCUUAAGCUAACAACAAGUUUUCCAUUUUUAAAGGCUUGUGAAAGACAAAAAUAAAAGAAUAUAUAACAAAAUAUAUAGCCUGCAGAGUCUAGCAUGUUCAUCUUGGCCUUUUAUAGAAAAAGCUUGCCACCUCUGCUCUAGGAGAUUAUAACAUUUUUUAAACUUGCUCUUUACUAAUUAAGAGCUCACACUCUGGGCAGCCCGGGUGGUCCAAUGGUUUAGCGCCACCUUCAGCCCAGGGUGUCCUCCUGGAGACCCGAGAUCGAGUCCUACGUCCGGCUCCCUGCAUGGAGCCUGCUUCUCCCUCUGCCUGUGUCUCUGCCUCUCUGUGUGUGUGUCUCUCUCUCUGUAUUUCUCAUGAAUAAAUAAAUAAAAUCUUAAAAAAAAAAAAAAAAAAAAA
rnacentral:lncRNA from 1 species